CAGCCGCCGCGGUAAUACCGGCGGCCCGAGUGGCGGUCACUAUUAUUUGGCUUAAAGCGUCCGUAGCCGGGUUGGGAAGUCCUCCGGGAAAUCUGGCCGCUUAACGGUCAGAAUGCCGGAGGAUACUCCCAGCCUAGGGAGCGGGAGAGGCCGAGGGUAUUCCCGGAGUAGGGGUGAAAUCCUAUAAUCCCGGGAGGACCACCUGUGGCGAAGGCGCUCGGCUGGAACGCGUCCGACGGUGAGGGACGAAGGCCAGGGGAGCAAACCGGAUUAGAUACCCGGGUAGUCCUGGCUGUAAACGAUGCGGACUUUGUGUCGGACAAGCUAUGAGCUUGUCCGGUGCCGGAGGGAAACCGUUAAGUCCGCCGCCUGGGGAGUACGGCCGCAAGGCUGAAAUUUAAAGGAAUUGGCGGG
rnacentral:rRNA from 1 species